GAGUAAUACAUCGGAACGUGUCCUGUAGUGGGGGAUAGCCCGGCGAAAGCCGGAUUAAUACCGCAUACGCUCUACGGAGGAAAGGGGGGGAUCUUAGGACCUCCCGCUACAGGGGCGGCCGAUGGCAGAUUAGCUAGUUGGUGGGGUAAAGGCCUACCAAGGCGACGAUCUGUAGCUGGUCUGAGAGGACGACCAGCCACACUGGGACUGAGACACGGCCCAGACUCCUACGGGAGGCAGCAGUGGGGAAUUUUGGACAAUGGGGGCAACCCUGAUCCAGCAAUGCCGCGUGUGUGAAGAAGGCCUUCGGGUUGUAAAGCACUUUUGUCCGGAAAGAAAACGCCGUGGUUAAUACCCGUGGCGGAUGACGGUACCGGAAGAAUAAGCACCGGCUAACUACGUGCCAGCAGCCGCGGUAAUACGUAGGGUGC
rnacentral:rRNA from 1 species